UGCCAGCCGCCGCGGUAAGACGGAGGGUGCUAGCGUUGUUCGGAAUCACUGGGCGUAAAGGGCGCGUAGGCGGCGCCGGCAGUCGACCGUGAAAGCCCGGGGCUCAACCCCGGAGGUGCGGUCGAGACGCCGGUGCUGGAGGCCGGAAGAGGAGGGUGGAAUACCCAGUGUAGAGGUGAAAUUCGUAGAUAUUGGGUGGAACACCGGUGGCGAAAGCGGCUCUCUGGUCCGGACCUGACGCUGAGGCGCGAAAGCGUGGGGAGCAAACAGGAUUAGAUA
rnacentral:rRNA from 1 species